AGUUCAUUACUGUCUGUGGGAAUCUCCAGUCUGGACUCUGCCAUACUGUCACCUUGCAAGCAGAAAGGUGUCACAUGAAUUCUGGAGCUACAGAAGUGCUAUGACUUCAGAUGACCUUGUCUGCAGUCUUCAAGUCUUGUGUAUGCACACACAGAUUUCAUCCACUCCUAGAAGUAUGAGUGUUUAAGAAGCUUGAAAACAGUCUGAAAUGUGGAGUUCUAAUGCACUUGGAAAUGCUUUCGUGGCCCUUCUUGCUCCUCAGAAAUACUGCUUGAUUCAAUAGUAAGGCAGAAGAGUAGCUGUUAAGUGAAAUGUGUGAAUAAGUCUUGAAUGAAGUUCAGGUGAGAGUGUUACUCCAGAAAGGGAAAUGACUUUGUGGACACUCUUAGAACUUGGUAUGAAUAUUUAAAGGUGCUGAAUAAAUUGAACAAAAUCUAAUAAAUCGAUGGUCAAAACAUGUAGUAAACUUGUGUUUUCUUGUCUAAAUGAGAGUGUUUACAAUGUUAGUGGUGGCAGUCCCAAGGCAA
rnacentral:lncRNA from 1 species